rnacentral:rRNA from 1 species
GAUGAACGCUAGCGGGAGGCCUAACACAUGCAAGCCGAGCGGUAUUGUUUCUUCGGAAAUGAGAGAGCGGCGUACGGGUGCGGAACACGUGUGCAACCUGCCUUUAUCUGGGGGAUAGCCUUUCGAAAGGAGAUUAAUACUCCAUAAUAUAUUGAUUGGCAUCAAUUAAUAUUGAAAGCUCCGGCGGAUAGAGAUGGGCACGCGCAAGAUUAGCUAGUUGGUGAGGUAACGGCUCACCAAGGCGAUGAUCUUUAGGGGGCCUGAGAGGGUGAUCCCCCACACUGGUACUGAGACACGGACCAGACUCCUACGGGAGGCAGCAGUGAGGAAUAUUGGUCAAUGGGUGCAAGCCUGAACCAGCCAUCCCGCGUGAAGGACGACUGCCCUAUGGGUUGUAAACUUCUUUUGAUAGGGAUAAACCCUCCCUCGUGAGGGUAGCUGAAGGUACUAUACGAAUAAGCACCGGCUAAACUCCCGUGCCAGCAGCCGCGGUAAU